UAGGGGAACCCAGAGCUGUGAUGCACACGGUGCACACGGUGCACGGGCAGUGAUACAUGGUGUGUGGACACGUGUCACGUUUUGGAACUAGAGAGGUUUCCUGUGAACAGCUUGGGUCAGGUGUAUUAUUGUGAGCUGGGGUGAUGAUGGGUUACCAGCAGCUUGUUGCGUCACCGUGGGGACUGAUACCGAUGGCCUCGUUGAUAGUGGAAGAGUGACGGUCGGAUUUAUUGAGUUGGGGUGAUAAUGGUUACCAGCAGCUUUUGGUGUCACCGUUGACCGACACUAUAGAUGGCCUUAUUUAUGGAACAGAGUGACGGCGAGUCGAGGGUUGCAAGAACAAAGCAACACUGUCGAUGAACUUGACCUGGACUUGGUUACACGUAUUUGAAAGGGUUCUCAAUUCCAGAGACUGAUAAUUUAUUGGUGCUUGGUGUUAUUAUAUAUGAACAGUAUUACCUUAUUACCAGUGAAUUGUUUAUAAACCACCACUAAAUAUUAAGAUUAAUAAUUAUUUAUUGAUUCUUGGUGAAAUACAAAUGUAAAAUUA
rnacentral:lncRNA from 1 species